rnacentral:rRNA from 1 species
CGGGUGGUAAUGCCGGAUGCUCCAUCACACUGCAUGGUGUGUUGGGAAAGCCUUUGCGGCAUGGGAUGGGGUCGCGUCCUAUCAGCUUGAUGGCGGGGUAACGGCCCACCAUGGCUUCGACGGGUAGCCGGCCUGAGAGGGCGACCGGCCACAUUGGGACUGAGAUACGGCCCAGACUCCUACGGGAGGCAGCAGUGGGGAAUAUUGCACAAUGGGCGCAAGCCUGAUGCAGCGACGCCGCGUGAGGGAUGGAGGCCUUCGGGUUGUAAACCUCUUUUGUUAGGGAGCAAGGCAUUUUGUGUUGAGUGUACCUUUCGAAUAAGCACCGGCUAACUACGUGCCAGCAGCCGCGGUAAUACGUAGGGUGCAAGCGUUAUCCGGAAUUAUUGGGCGUAAAGGGCUCGUAGGCGGUUCGUCGCGUCCGGUGUGAAAGUCCAUCGCUUAACGGUGGAUCCGCGCCGGGUACGGGCGGGCUUGAGUGCGGUAGGGGAGACUGGAAUUCCCGGUGUAACGGUGGAAUGUGUAGAUAUCGGAAAAGAACACCA